rnacentral:snRNA from 1 species
AUGCCUUAAACUAAUGAGUAAGGAAAAUAACGAUUUGGGUUGAUGCCUGGGCCCUCAGUGCUAAUGUGAGAGGAAUUUUUGGACAGGUACAGGUCAUCCCUAUGGUGAUCAGCCUACUUAGUGGGAAGCCUGGGUAUUUUUUUUAUAUA